rnacentral:rRNA from 1 species
CUACAGGCUUAACACAUGCAAGUCGAGGGGCAGCAUGGUCUUAGCUUGCUAAGGCCGAUGGCGACCGGCGCACUGGUGAGUAACGCGUAUCCAACCUGCCUUACACUCUUGGACAGCCUUCUGAAAGGGAGAUUAAUACAAGAUGUUAUCAUGAGUAAGCAUUUUCGCAUGAUUAAAGGUUUACCGGUGUAAGAUGGGGAUGCGUUCCAUUAGAUAGUAGGCGGGGUAACGGCCCACCUAGUCUUCGAUGGAUAGGGGUUCUGAGAGGAAGGUCCCCCACAUUGGAACUGAGACACGGUCCAAACUCCUACGGGAGGCAACAGUGAGGAAUAUUGGUCAAUGGACGAGAGUCUGAACCAGCCAAGUAGCGUGAAGGAUGAAGGUUCUAUGGAUUGUAAACUUCUUUUAUACGGGAAUAAACGAAUCCACGCGUGGAUUUUUGCAUGUACCGUAUGAAUAAGGAUCGGCUAACUCCGUGCCAGCAGCCGCGGUAAUACGGAGGAUCCGAGCGUUAUCCGGAUUUAUUGGGUUUAAAGGGAGCGUAGAUGGGUUGUUAAGUCAGUUGUGAAAGUUUGCGGCUCAACCGUAAAAUUGCAAUUGAUACUGGCAGUCUUGAGUACAGUUGAGGUAGGCGGAAUUCGUGGUGUAGCGGUGAAAUGCUUAGAUAUCACGAAGAACUCCGAUUGCGAAGGCAGCUUACUAACCUGUAACUGACAUUGAUGCUCGAAAGUGUGGGUAUCAAACAGGAUUAGAUACCCUGGUAGUCCACACGGUAAACGAUGAAUACUCGCUGUAGGCGAUAUACAGUCUGCGGCCAAGCGAAAGCAUUAAGUAUUCCACCUGGGGAGUACGCCGGCAACGGUGAAACUCAAAGGAAUUGACGGGGGCCCGCACAAGCGGAGGAACAUGUGGUUUAAUUCGAUGAUACGCGAGGAACCUUACCCGGGCUUAAAUUGCAACCGAAUAUGGCGGAAACGCUAUAGCUAGCAAUAGCGGUUGUGAAGGUGCUGCAUGGUUGUCGUCAGUUCGUGCCGUGAGGUGUCGGCUUAAGCGCCAUAACGAGCGCAACCCUUGCCGAUAGUUACUAACAGGUCAUGCUGAGGACUCUGUCGGGACUGCCAUCGUAAGAUGUGAGGAAGGUGGGGAUGACGUCAAAUCAGCACGGCCCUUACGUCCGGGGCUACACACGUGUUACAAUGGGGGGUACAGAGGGCUGCUACCACGCAAGUGGAUGCCAAUCCCAAAAACCUCUCUCAGUUCGGAUUGAAGUCUGCAACCCGACUUCAUGAAGCUGGAUUCGCUAGUAAUCGCGCAUCAGCCACGGCGCGGUGAAUACGUUCCCGGGCCUUGUACACACCGCCCGUCAAGCCAUGGGAGCCGGGGGUACCUGAAGUGCGUAACCGCAAGGAGCGCCCUAGGGUAAAACUGGUGACUGGGGCU